GCCUGGUUAGCUCAAUCGGUAGAGCGUGUGACUCUUAGCUAACCCUAGAUAGGGGUCUCUGCAAUCACAAGGCUGUGGGUUCGACCCCCACAUCGGGCG